AUACGGAGGGGACUAGCGUUGUUCGGAAUUACUGGGCGUAAAGAGUUCGUAGGCGGACUGAUAAGUAAGAGGUGAAAUCCCAGGGCUCAACCCUGGAACUGCCUUUUAAACUGUCAGUCUAGAGACCGGAAGAGGUUAGGGGAAUACCUAGUGUAGAGGUGAAAUUCGUAGAUAUUAGGUGGAACACCAGUGGCGAAGGCGGCCCACUGGCUCGAUACUGACGCUGAGGUACGAAAGCGUGGGGAGCAAACAGGAUUAGAAACCCCAGUAGUCC
rnacentral:rRNA from 1 species